CGAGUUGACUAGACAAUCGCUGCUUUAUCGUUGUGCCUUAGGGUAAACAGAUAAAGGGGAGGAAAGUCCGGGCUCCAAUGAGCAGGGUGCCAGGUAACGCCUGGGCGGCGUAAGCCGACGACAAGUGCAGCAGAGAGAAGACCGCCGAUGGCCGCUUUGCGGAACAGGUAAGGCUGAAAGGGUGCGGUAAGAGCGCACCGGAUUACUGGUAACAGUAAUUGCAGGGUAAACUCCACCCGGAGCAAGACCAAAUAGGGUUUCAUGAUUAGUUUGACUAAUAUAAGCGUGGCUCGCGUGGAAACCGGGUAGGUUGCUUGAGCCUUAGAGCGAUUUAAGGCCUAGACGAAUGAUUGUCACUUUUCUUUGAAAAGAUACAAAACCCGGCUUAUGUGUCAGCUCACAUA
rnacentral:RNase_P_RNA from 1 species